UACGUAGGGUGCAAGCGUUAAUCGGAAUUACUGGGCGUAAAGCGUGCGCAGGCGGUUGUGCAAGACCGAUGUGAAAGCCCCGGGCUCAACCUGGGAACUGCAAUGGAAACUGGCGGGCUUGAGUGUGGCAGAGGGGGGUGAAAUUCCGCGUGUAGCAGUGAAAUGCGUAGAGAUGCGGAGGAACACCGAUGGCGAAGGCAGCCCCCUGGGCCAACACUGACGCUCAGGCACGAAAGCGUGGGGAGCAAACAGG
rnacentral:rRNA from 1 species